rnacentral:rRNA from 1 species
UACGUAGGUGGCAAGCGUUGUCCGGAUUUACUGGGCGUAAAGAGCGCGCAGGCGGUCGAUCAAGUCGCGUGUGAAAGCCCCCGGCUCAACUGGGGAGGGUCACGCGAUACUGAUCGACUCGAAGGCAGGAGAGGGUAGUGGAAUUCCCGGUGUAGAGGUGAAAUUCGUAGAUAUUCGGAAGAACACCAGUGGCGAAGGCGACUUACUGGACGACUGUUGACGCUGAGGUGCGAAAGCGUGGGGAGCAAACAGG